ensembl:snRNA U6 U6 spliceosomal RNA
UUGCUUACGCAGCAUGUGUGCUAAAAUUGGAAUGAUAUGGACAAGAUUAGCACUGGCCCUGUGCAAGAGAUGACAAGGAAAUUCAUGAAAUGUUCCAAUUUUUC